rnacentral:lncRNA from 1 species
UGGGAAUGGGAAUGGGGGGUAUGGGAAUGGAGGGUAUGGGAAAUGGUAAGCCAAGGGGUGUGGAGGUAUUAAUUUACCCUUCAAGAGGGAAUGAGGUUCCCAUUCCAAGCAAAAAUUUUACUAAUCCAAACACAUAGUUGGUUCCGAUUCCCAUUAACCGGGCUCAUUAACCAUCAACCAAACGCCCCCUAAGUAAAAUUUACUUGUGAUCAUAAACACUCUCUAGUUUCUCACCAUUUUUCUUACAAUAUUGUUAUUGUUACAGGAUGAUGCUCAUAUUUUUUGCAGGGAAUCCCAGGUGAAUUUUAUCCAGUAAUCUGUACCUCACUCUUUAUUAGCUCUUCUAUAAAUCCUUAUUUGGCUGUCAAAUGGUUUAUUUUAAUUUCCAGAUAAAAGAUGAAGUCAGGGGCGUUCUUGAAUUCAUUAAAUACACCUAUGAUGCAUUUGGCUUCGGUUUUGAAGCUGAAGCUUUCGAUGGUGAGGAGCUGUUUCUUUUUUCGUACUUUUAGUUGCUGUGUGAAUUAUUAAUAUGCUAAGUGUUAGUUGUUAGAAUAUGAUCCUGGUAAGCCCUCCUUCUAACACCUUGAGGUUUUAGGAAAAUUGAUCACUUAACACUCUCGACCCAUAAAUGGGCUUUCGAGUGAGGGGGAAUGUUAGAAUAUGAUCCUGGUAAGCCCUCCUCCUAACACCUUGAGGGUUUAGGAGAAUUGGUCUCUUAACAUUAGUUAGCAUAGAAUAUAUGCAUGCGAAUGUGAUAUACCCAUUUUCUUUCAAGAAUUCAGCCUUGGGUAGAAGAGAAAGGUUUACAAAUGUCACCGGACUCGGUAGCUUUUAUAAAUGUCACUCGAUCAGUAGCUUUUAUAUCUUUUUUUUUUUACUCAUCACGCAGGAAAAUUUCCGUCUACCCUCACACAACUUAAAAGCGACCAUCAUAAAUGAAACGGUGACUUUUAUAUUUAAAAGCAGCCACCCGUAAAAACUAUCUAACAAAAGCGACCGGCGGUAAAAGCUACUAGUUUCCAUCGCUUUUAUGCUUCAGUAUGAAUUGAUUUUAAAAGCAACCGCCGACAGUUGGUGACUUUUAAUUGGUAAUUUUUAGUCAGUUCUCUUAUAGUGUUCAAAAAUUGAGAAAUGUAUAUUAAAAAUCAAAUCGGUUAUAUUCAAAAACAGAGGUAAUAAAUGUAAUUAUGAUGAUUAAGUAAAAGACAAAAAAAGCUAAAUACAUUUUCUCAUUCCACAUAACAUGAAGAGCAUUGAUGAUGAAAACUACAGACUACAGUACACACGAAGGGUGGUAAUAUGGAGAUCAUUUUAACAGUUGAACGCUGAAACCACACAAGUGGUCAACCACCUUAAUUAUUCAGUGAAAACAGAAUUCGAAAGACUCAACUGUGAUGAAACACACAGGUGGUUACAUAUAUAUUACAAGUCUAGUUCGUUUUCCUGCAGUUUUUUCUGAUCUGACCACUGGAGCCGGUGAGCGGGCUAAGGUUUCCCAUCUUGAUCAUCGCGUUCGCGAAGUCGGACAAGAAUGUGGCUUGGUCUGUACUGUAAGACCUGACUUGAGCAUCCGUAGAGCCGUUAUUGAAGAGCAC